CAGCUCCAUCAUUACAAUUUCCUGGGUGUGUUUUUUGAGCUGCUUCAUUUGCCUACUUCAUUAACGGCUCAGCUCCUGAGGCAUUCGAGGGAGGAUUCUUGGAUCACCUGUUUACGCUGAUCAGCAUGUGGGACACGGACGUGUGGGAGCCUGCAGUAGGACACCAUGCUUACUGUAAGCGGUAAAUAUCUUCUGAUACCACAAUACACAAGUUCUCAGGAUUGCAUCUCUAACUCAGUCACAUUAUGUUGUGUGUGUGUGUGAGAGAGAUUUGUCAAUAGGAUCAGCUUACAGUGCUUUGAGAAGUACUGUUUUCUCAGCCAGUGGAGCUCUACAGCAAUCCAGAAGCCUUAAAGCCAAUUUAUGCUGACAACCCAGUCCUCGCAGAUGGCGUCGCAGAUGGCGUCUGCGAAGCCCCCCCCUUCGCAGACGCUCUGCGCACACCUCCCAAAAAUUGUGACCACCGCAGACAGCCUCGCAGACAGCGUCGCAGACAAGAGGGCUCUGAUUGGUCCACUCUACAUCCGCUGUACACGCACUUCCGCUUCCCUACUUUCCCGGUUUGGUUUGUUUUCACAACCGGCAUUUUUAAAAACACGAGCGAAGAUGGAGCAGCACGAAGAGCGGUUGAUCGAGGAAGUGAGGAAGUACGUACAUCUAUACGACUCCAGUUCUAGUCAUUAUAAGUAACCGGAGGAUAAACACUCCACUAACCACACCCACCAACUACUCCUAGCGAUUUCGCGACUUCGCACCCCCUUGCAUUGUGGCGGUGAAUAACAUCGCGAACGCCUAUUACUCCCCGCUCAACGAUAAAUUACAACUGUCUGCGAAAAGCUAUCUGCGAAAGCCUUGUCGCAAGAGCAUGCAGAGGCCCUUAGUCUCUGCAGUUUUGCAUCUCCUUCUUCAGUUUGUCAAACUGAUAGACACUUUGGAGAGGCUCUGAACAAUGUAGUUCCCGUAAGGCCAAUUUAUGCUGACAACGCAGUCCUCGCAGAUGGCAUCGCCGAUGGCGUCUGCGUAGCCCCCCCCCCUUCGCAGACGCUCUGCGCGCACCUCCCAAAAAUUGUGACCACCUCAGAAGCCUCACAGACAGCGUCGCAGACAAGAGGGCUCUGAUUGGUCCACUCUGCAUCCGCUGUACACGCACUUCCGCUUCCCUACUUUCCCGGUUUGUUUUGUUUUCACGACUGCCAUUUUUAAAAACACGAGCGAAGAUGGAGCAGCACGAAGAGCGGUUGAUCGAGGAAGUGAGGAACCAGCAUUAACUUUUUCAGCAGUUUGUGCUACAGUAGCUCUUCUGUCGAACUGAACCACAUGGGCUAGCCUUCGUGCCCCAAGUGAAUCACUGAGCCUUUGACACCCAUGACCCUGUCACCAGUUCACCGGUUGUCCUUCCUUGGACCACUUUUGCUUCCAACACAUCAGCUUCAAAAACUGACUGUCAGUGUAAUUCACUUCACCUGUUAGUGGUCAUAAUGUUAUGGCUGAUCGGGGUAUGCAGAUCAUUGUGAAAGGUCAGUCUGCUCAUUGUAAUAGUAAGAAGCCUUGUGUUUGUGUUUGUUGAUUUGUCUUUAGAAAACUCAAAGCAGAAAAAUUAGAUUAUUUUCGCAGAUGAUGAUGAGGAUGAGGAGGAUGCCUCUCUACUGGAGCUAUGCAGGUCAUCAGAGCCAGAGUGUGUGUGUUUGCGUGCUGUAGAGAGCCUGACUGUAACCUGGCACUAAUGGAAAACGGGGCUCAGGAGGGGUCCAUCAAGUCCUGUUUCCUCUUUAACUGCUACAGUAGUAAAAGCAGAAGAAAGUGUGCCGCUUUGUCCGAAAGAAGGGUUUCAGGUGAUCAUGGGCACAAAGCACAUUGCAGAAAACUGCUGUUUUUUACUGAAUUGCUCCAGAGCCAUGCAUCUCAGCGACUGACAGGAGGCAGAAGUCUCUCACACCGCUGUGCCCGUCAUCAUCUAGCACACCUCUGCAACAUUCACCAAGAGUCCUUUCCAAUGCCGAAAAGCAGGACACGAUGCUCAGAGAGGUGGAGGACAUAGCAGCAACUCCAAGAGACAUAAGUUUGAGCUUAAAGCAAAUAUACCAAUCACUGCAAAAUGUGAAAAACUAACAAAAAUUAAC